rnacentral:rRNA from 1 species
GUGGGGAAUAUUGGACAAUGGGCGAAAGCCUGAUCCAGCCAUGCCGCGUGUGUGAAGAAGGUCUUCGGAUUGUAAAGCACUUUAAGUUGGGAGGAAGGGCAGUAAGUUAAUACCUUGCUGAUUUGACGUUACCGACAGAAUAAGCACCGGCUAACUACGUGCCAGCAGCCGCGGUAAUACGUAGGGUGCGAGCGUUAAUCGGAAUUACUGGGCGUAAAGCGCGCGUAGGUGGUUUUGUAAGUUGGAGGUGAAAUCCCCGGGCUCAACCUGGGAACUGCCUCCAAAACUGCAUGACUAGAGUACGGUAGAGGGUAGUGGAAUUUCCUGUGUAGCGGUGAAAUGCGUAGAUAUAGGAAGGAACACCAGUGGCGAAGGCGACUACCUGGACUGAUACUGACACUGAGGUGCGAAAGCGUGGGGAGCAAACAGGAUUAGAAACCCGAGUAGUCC